CCGCUGCUCAAAGGCUCUUUAUUCCACCGGAACCCAAAGCUCUCUGGGAAGCAGGAGUUGUGGGCGCUAAGUGGCGCCCAACCGUGUGCGGGCCCUGUUCAACUUCCUGGUGCGGUCUGCUGGGUGAAUUUAUGGUUUCACCCACAGAUAUUUGAAAUACCUAGAAACAAGGGAGAGAAUGCUCUCAAAUGCCAGAAUAUUGAGAUGUAAAUGACUGUGGAAGAAGUGCUGUAAACCAGACAGCAGAUUGGAAAUGAAGACAAAACAACCAACCAACCAACCAUAAAGCUGGUCCUUCUCCAGCUUCAGCAUGGCCUUAAAUGGAGUUUCUGUGAGGUAGGCAGGGUUUGGGACAGCUUCCAGUGCUCCCCGUUCCUCAAGUGUGGGUGGAACCUCGUGACCUGCUUCUAACAAAGAGAGCACAGCAAAAGUGAUGGAAUGUCAUUUCCAGGGUUAGGUUACAAAAUGACUCUGAGUGGCUCCUCCUGUUUUGCUCACUGUCUCAGUCCGUUCAGGCUGCUGCACCAAACAUACCGUAGAUCAGGGUGGCUUGUGAACAACAGAGAUCUAUUGCUCACAGUUCUGGGAGCUUGAUGCCCUGGAGCAGGGUGCCGGCAUGGUUGGAUUCUAGUGAGGGCCCUCUUUUGGCUUGCAGACUACUGACCUCUUGUCAUGUUCUCAUUUGGCAGAAACAGCAAGGGAGAUUUCUCAGUGGCUUUCUCAUCAGGGCCCUGAUCCUAUUCUCGAUGGCUCUGUCCUCAUGACCUAAUCUUUUCCCAAAAACCCUGCCUUCUAUUAACCAUUAUCUUGGGGAUUAGGUUUCAACACAUGAAUUUGGGGGUGGGGGGACACAGACAUUCAGCCCAUAGCAUUUACCUUCCCUCACUAUCUCUUGUUCUCUCCUUGGAGAGGAUGCCAUGCCGUGAACAGCCCUGUGCAGAAGCUUGUGUGGCAAAGCACUGGUGUCUUCAGCCAAUAGCCAGUGAGAACCUGGGGCCUGCCAACAGCCACUGAGGAAGUUUAGAAGCUGAUCCUUCCCUGGUUGGGGUUUGAGGUGACUGUAGCCCUAGCCAACUCCCUGAUUGAACCAAAGGAUGUAUGCAAGUUUCACGUGGAUUCCUGGCCCAGAAAUGACGCCAAGAUAAAAGAUGUUGUUUCAAGCCACUAAAUUUGGGGGUAAUUUGUUAUGCAGCCUAGGGAACUAACACACCUUAUGUGAGAAGUGGACAUCAGACUAGUGGAAGGAAACACUAAAAAUGAGACCGCAGGUAUAUUCAAUGAAUCAUUUGUAACCAUGAAGCACCACCAUUACCGUAGGGCACUCUGGUCCCCAGAUGCAAUGAUCUGGCUCACCCCUUUAAAUGUAAGAUUGUAACCUGGCAUGAAACAUAGUCACUGCUAAAACGUACCCACCAGUCAGUCAGCUGGGGUUAGGUGAGCACAUGUGCUUUCUCCUGUGGCAGUUUUUUGUCGAGUAUCUAUCCAGACUCAGGAAGAAGGAAAACAGCUCUGGACCUUGGCAUCCUUUUUUUUAGAAAGUUUCUGCUAAGAUUAGUCACAAGAAAUUUAAAUCUGGUAGAAAUUCCAGGAUUAAGCAAAAUAGCCUAUUUAAAAACUCAAAGCAUAUAUUAAGAUAAAAAUCACAUGAUCUAGGAAUAAGAUAGUAUUAAGAUAGAUUUAUUCAUGUCUAGUUUCAAAACAGGCAGAGUCACUAGAAUUUAAAUGACUGCACUUGUUGAGACAUUUUGCUAAAGGCUUCUGUGAAAUUGAUUUAUGAAUGACCUAAUUUGCUAUCUCUCAUACCAGUCUGAUGAAUUCACUGACACUUAAUGAAGAUGAAGUUUAUCCUUUUUGUUUUGUCAGUCUGCAGUCUUAGGGAAGUUUGGCUAUAAGUUGUUUUGCACGGUAUGGUGAUGAUUUUCACCAUCUAUUGGCUCACACGUAGCAUUCUCAAUUUAGAAGCUUCGAUUUCCUGAACCUGGCUCUGUGCUGGUCCCUCUUCAUGCAUAAACUCAUUUCUUCCUUGCAGCAGCUCUAUGAAGUAGGUUGUACCACCAUUUGUUAUUGUCUAGAUGAGGACACAGAGGCCCAGGGACAUGACACCCUGUGCCCAAGGACAUGCCCUUGGUAAAUGGCAGAGUCAGACCCCAAACCCACAGUCUCUCCCCUUUCCGCUGCAGCCUUCCCCUCCUCUGCGCUGUUUUGUUUGUUGCUUCAUCCUCCUCCUCAUGAAGGAAGAAAAUGCUCUCUUACAAUCAAUGCAUUCUUUCCACGGCUUUUGAGAGUGUCAAAUCUGCUAAAACUGUAUCUUCUCAGCAAUGCUUCAGGGGAAGUGGAGUAUGGGUUUUGUCCCUCCAUACGAUGCUCCUUCUUCUUGAUCUGUUACACUGAAAUAACGAACUGUGUAUUUCAGACACCCUCUCACAUUCAGCUCUUCGGUAAUUCUUGCACAGUUUUGAUCUGUGCCAGCCUCAUUUCCUUCAAUGACAUAUAUCAAGCACCUGGUUGGUGGCAGUCAUUUGGGAUGCAGACUUUCAAAACAAGAGUUGCAGUCUUAGCAGGGAAGUAGGGUGUGCACAGGUUGAAAUGCACGCCACUGAUUUGGCAGCCCAAGACUCCUCAGGUGAGAAAUAGAUUUACUGAAGGUUAGGCCUAUGCCAGGGAAUUCACAAGCUAAGUAGCUUUGCUGCCUCCUACCUGAACUCUGUAGGGUGAACUGAACAUUCAGGUUAGGGUUCCAGAGUUUGCAGUCACUGUGUGUGUAUAUAAGAGAACUGCAAAGGACAGAAAGGGAAUUAUGUAGAAAGUGAGGUAGCGAGAGCUAUGGGACACUGGGAUGAGGCUGCUCUGCAGGGAAUGAGAAGUAUCCAGGUUUGCAGCAGAUACACAUUUGGGAGCAAAGGGGAACUACCAUUGUCAACCUUUGUCCUGUCCAUCACAUCCAAGUGUUAGUUAGACCCCAGAAUGGUUUACAUUCUGGACCUGGUUCUGUUUAACCACCUAUAAACAACCCCCACAUUUCAGUGGCUUAAUCCAAACAAAGUUUACUUUUUUGUCACUUCACAGUUCAAAAUGGGUUUGGGAUCAGGGGAGUCUGCUCUCUGGGGUCAUUUGAGGACACAUGCCCCUUUCCUUAUAGUGGCCCUGCCCUCUUCUGUCUUCAGUAUCUUCUCCAGUCAGCUGGGGAUGGAGAGGGAGAGUGAAGGCCAAGCCCGGGAGUGUCUGGGCUGGGCCUGAACGUGUUCCCCAAGACUUCUACCCACAUGCCAUUGGCCAGAAGUCGGCUGCAUGGCCACACCUACCUGCAGGGGAGGUGGGGCCUAGCCAUGUUCCUAAAACCAAGAGAAGAGCACGGAUAGCUGUCUCUUGUCACAUCUGGUGGGCCACUGUCUCUUGGUCUUACUGUAUAUUCCACUCAUUCAGAAACCACUUAGUACCUCCUGGGUAUCUCUUUUGUGUAAAUAUAUAUAUGUGUGUGUGUGUAUAUAUAUAUAUGCCCCUCAUAGUGAAUUAACACCCUAAUGCAAACCUGAGUCGUUUAUUCAAGCUUGACAAGCCUUGGUGUUUUAACAUGCCACCUGGUUGGAGCAGGUAAUGCCCAUCAUUAAAAGAGAUUGGGAUUCCUGGGCCUAGUCUAAUCCUAGCUUGGGCCAAGCAAGUCAUGUGGAAAGGAUACCUAUGUUUCUGGACCUUGGGCCUUGCACCGGCACAGUGAGACCUUGAACUGGACAGAUUUCUGAGUUCCCUUCUUGCUCUGAGUGUCUCUGAAAGUCUUGGCAACGAAUAAGGAUUGUGUUAGACUGAUACCAAACUCCAGUCUUCUCACUUGACUUAUGAGACUUUUGGUCCCCAAAGCUCCACUACAUGGCUUUGAAAAAGAAAGCAGAAGAUAAUACUCUCUACCCCUGAUUAAAUCUCCAAUUGGAAGAAGAAUCUAAGACAUCUCUUCCUGACUUGUGAUGCAGCGUACUUUUUUGUUAGCACAUGUACUGCUUGAUGACAUUUUGAAAGUCUAACACUCACACCGGUCUUCACUCUUCAACUUCCCACUCUAUGCUGACUGGGAAGCAGCCCAGAGGUUGGGUUGUGAAGAAAGUCACAGGUUACUCACGAAGGAGAAGACCCAAGCACCCAUGAUGGGCAAUGAGUACAACAAACACAGUUUGUGGAGGCAGACGGAUUCAUUGCUCCUUUGCUUAUAAGAAACUUAUUUUGAGGCCAACAACCCUGGUCAGUAUUUAAUA